rnacentral:rRNA from 1 species
AUGAACGCUAGCUACAGGCUUAACACAUGCAAGUCGCGGGGCAGCAUGUCGGUUGCUUGCAACCGAUGAUGGCGACCGGCGCACGGGUGAGUAACGCGUAUCCAACCUCCCCCAUAGUAGGGUACAGCCCGGCGAAAGUCGGAUUAAUGCCCUAUGUUCUUCGCAGAUGGCAUCUGAUGUGAAGCAAAGGUUCUCCGCUAUGGGAUGGGGAUGCGUCUGAUUAGCUUGCCGGCGGGGUAACGGCCCACCGGGGCGACGAUCAGUAGGGGUUCUGAGAGGAAGGUCCCCCACACUGGUACUGAGACACGGACCAGACUCCUACGGGAGGCAGCAGUGAGGAAUAUUGGUCAAUGGGCGAGAGCCUGAACCAGCCAAGUAGCGUGCAGGAAUGACGGCCCUACGGGUUGUAAACUGCUUUUAUGCGGGGAUAAAGUUCGCCAUGCGUGGUGUUUUGCAUGUACCGCAUGAAUAAGGACCGGCUAAUUCCGUGCCAGCCGCAGC